rnacentral:rRNA from 1 species
GAUGAACGCUGGCGGCGUGCCUAAUACAUGCAAGUCGAGCGAACAGACGAGGAGCUUGCUCCUCUGACGUUAGCGGCGGACGGGUGAGUAACACGUGGAUAACCUACCUAUAAGACUGGGAUAACUUCGGGAAACCGGAGCUAAUACCGGAUAAUAUAUUGAACCGCAUGGUUCAAUAGUGAAAGACGGUUUUGCUGUCACUUAUAGAUGGAUCCGCGCCGCAUUAGCUAGUUGGUAAGGUAACGGCUUACCAAGGCAACGAUGCGUAGCCGACCUGAGAGGGUGAUCGGCCACACUGGAACUGAGACACGGUCCAGACUCCUACGGGAGGCAGCAGUAGGGAAUCUUCCGCAAUGGGCGAAAGCCUGACGGAGCAACGCCGCGUGAGUGAUGAAGGUCUUCGGAUCGUAAAACUCUGUUAUUAGGGAAAACAAAUGUGUAAGUAACUAUGCACGUCUUGACGGUACCUAAUCAGAAAGCCACGGCUAACUACGUG